AAGAGCUUUAAUAGCGCCUAUUUAAUAGCGCUUAUUUAAAAAGCGCUAUUAAAACAUAGAAACGGAGCCUUAUAAUAGCGGUUUUAAGAUGAGCGCUAUUAAAUAUUUGAAUCUAGGUAUGCUACAAUAGCGCUUUUGAGAAAAGCGUUAUUAAAGCCGUCAGCAAGGAACUCUAUAAUAGCACUUUUUAAAAGCGCUAUUAAUUCGGAUAUCCUAUAAUAGCGUGUUUUUGCAUAAGCGCUAUAGUAAAGCAAAUUAAUAAAUUAAAAAACUGUUAUGGCUGGGUGUCGAACCUUUGACCCCUUGGUUGAUGAAUAAUAAAAAAAAAAACAGAUCAAUUUUUUUUAAGAAAAAACUUAUCUCCUACUCACACAACUGCAUCGUUCCUACUCACAGUUCCUUGGUUCCAACUUCCAACUCUCCUCUUUCUCUACUCUAAUUCCUGAUCAACGCCAUCUUGUCAAUCCUCCAUCUCCACCUUGCCGUCGAACCCUAAUUCCUUAUACCCUCGUUCAACCUCAAUCUUCGUCGAACCUUAUGUCCUUCGUUUCGGCCCAAAACACCUCCAUCGAACCCUAAAUUUCGCGAUUCUCAGUAUACCCAGAACGACAAUUCUCUGUGUAACAACCUUAUAUAGUUAUAUCUCAACAUUUUCAUUGAUUGGGUAACGACAAUUCUAUGUGUAACCCACUGUUUUGAUUGGGUUUAUCUUUUAUUUUAAUUUUAAUUUCAUUGAUUCAUAUUAUAUGGGAUUGUUAAUUGUUGAUUUGAUUGAUGAUGAUUGUUAAUAUUAACCAGUAUUACUAGUAUUUUUUAAUUUCAAGUUGUGUUUGUUUUCUUGCCAUUUGAAUUGUGUCUGCUGCAUGUUUAUAUUGUGAUUUUGCUGUUGUUUCAGUGGUGUCAGAGGAGGUGUCUGCUGUUUGAGGAUAUUGUUGGUUUGUGCUUUAAUUGGUUUGGUAUGGCUGUGUGUUUUUGUUGGGUUUGGCCGAGGGAUUGUGUCUUUUCUUCGUGUUUCCUUUAAAUUGUUACGCCUCGGUUUGGUUUGAUGUAUUGUGCUUCUUGAUAAUGGUUGAAAUAGUCAUCAAGCUAAUGUUAAUGUGGCAGCCCUCUUUGAGCUUGAUUCAUUCCCCAAUUGUUACUCUUUUGAAUUUCAUCUUUGAUUUUAUGUUACUAGUGUUGUGUGAUCAAAUUUUUUGAUUACUGUAGACUGGUGAUUUUAUUUCAUUCUGUGUGGUAGUAGUUGGAAGCUUAUCCACUGAUCUUUAAAAGCUAGCUGGCUAAAUAUACAUUUGAUAGCUUCAUAUACCACCGACAUGAUCAUGUUACUAUGAACUUUGCCAGAAGUGGAGGACAUGGGAUGUUAACAAAUGGACGGACACAUGUAGGGGCUGAGUGUGACUUUAGCCACACCAGAUGUUUCCAAAAAAAAUUUAUAUACUGAAAAGAAAGAAAAAAGUACAGAAUUGUUAACCUCAAACAAUCACAUAUUCUUUCUCUCUUCCUCUUCAAAUUCUCAAUAAGCAAGAUCAGAAGUGUCUACCUCAAAUCCUCAAUCUUUCAAUUUUCUACCAAUUGUAAGCUUAUAGGUGUGUUUGAAAAUCUAAGGUAAAGUGAGUAUUCCAAUUUUCUCCUAUUCUUUUCUCCUUUUUCAGCUGAAUCCUAAAACCUCAAUUUGUUAAAAUUUCAAUUUUCCCAAUUUCUCAUAAAUGGGUACCUUUAUAAUCAAUUGGUGUGAAGAACAAUAGUUAUUUAGUUGUGAUUUUGAUCUGUUAUGUUCAGUAGGUUAUUGUAUGAUUGCAUUACUUUGUAUUGUUAAUAUACCUUGAAUUUGUUCCUCUAGCUUUGAUAGUCUGCUUUGGUGUUUGAUGAUAUGGUUAUUUGUUUGGAUAGUGUCCUGCUAUAUUAUGCAAGUGUUGUAAUGUUUCCUUACCAUGAGUUCAACAAUAAAAGAACAUAGGCAUCACGGGAAAAUAA